rnacentral:lncRNA from 1 species
CUUCCGGCGGCUCCGCGGUACUUCGCGCGGCUGACCUCCGGGGCCACCCGCGAAUACUUCAGCCAUUAGCAGUGUUCUGUGCCACACAGCAUAAGCAGUGAAUGUGCAAAAUCCCCUUCGCAGGAAAACGUCCUUCAGCCCUCUCCCUCGGGGUCCUGCCUGCGAGAUCUAGGUCAGCACCACCCCACAUCCUGGCUCCUUCCUUGGAAAGGAUGUCACUGCGGGGACUGUCCACCCAGCAGAAGGCAAGCCCUGCCCCUGUAGCAACAGCCAAGGCUUAAAUGUCCAGGCCCUACAGCCUAAUGACUAGAAACAGAGACGGGGAAGGGGGGUUGCUGCAGGAGACACAGCAGGGCCCCAUCUAGCUGCUGGAAGAUGCUGAGUGAGAGCAGAGUCUGGCGAAGCUCCUGCGACAGGCCCCACUGCUCUUGUUCCAGAACCUCCCUGACCACUCCGAAGUCUUGCUUGAGCUGCAGCGCCCCCUGCAGGCUAGAUGUCCAGCACCAGGAAGAAAGAAAAAUUACCAGGACACAAUCGAAGUCUCCAGUAUCGACCCCUCGGCAUGUGGAGCUUGAAGCCUUGUGUGGCUUGUUUAUGGCAUUCUUGGACAAACAGACCCAGUGAUUCUUUGGGCAGGAGCUGUAUGGGGAGGAAGAAAGUAAGAAGGGCUAGUCUAUUAGACUGGGAAUGGUGUUUCUCUCUCUGAGGUCUCAGUGUGGGCAUCUGUAAAACCCUGAUGCCUCACUGUGGGAGCAUGGGCAUUUUCUAAGGAGGUCUGGACCUAAACCAUGCACAGUACCUAGGAUUAGAGGUUUCCUUAGUAAUCAAAGGCACAUGACAAGUCAGGCGUGUUGGGCAUGCGGCUAGACUCCCAGCAUUUGGAAAGUAGAAUCAGAGUAUUAGAAGCUCAAUGGCCAGGGGAUGGAGAGAUGGCUCAGUGACUGAAUGAAUGCUCCUCUAGAGUCUUGAGUUCAAUUCCUAGAAACCACAUGGUGGGUCAUAACCAUCUGUAAUGAAAUCCGAUGCCCUCUUCUGAUGUGUCUGAAGACUGCUACAGUGUACUUGCAUAUAUAAAUCUUUUUUGUAAAGAACAAGAAGCCAACAGAGAAAACUUUAGCAGAGACUAAGGAGAUUGGAGAUCGCAAGGUCCCCAGCCCUGUGGCGGACACAGCCUAAGUUCUGGCCUGGGCUGUCGAAGGCUAUCCAAGAGGGGAGGAAAAAGCCGCUGCAGCAGCUCAGAGGUAGGAGACAGUGACGCAGGGCUGCUCUGACCACCCAGGGCUGAUCCUAAGGCCUGGCAGAACCCUGGCAUGACAAAAUAUAGUCUGAGGGGGUGCGCAACAGGAUCCUUGGGUCACCCCAAUGUCCUUUUCUCCUUACCU